rnacentral:SRP_RNA from 1 species
GCCGGGCAUGGUGGCGCAUGCCUGUAAUCUCAGCUACUCAGGAGGCUGAGGCAGGAGAUGAACCUGGGAGGCAGAGGUUGCAGUGAGCCGAGAUUGCAUCAUUGCACUCCAGCCUGGGCAACAGAGCUAGACUCUGUUUCAAAUAAAUAAAUAUCCAAAGAUUUUUCAAAAGGGAAAUAUCUUUUUUUUUAAAAAGACAGAGUCUCACUCUGUCACCCAGGCUGGAGUGCAGUGGCGCAAUCUCAGCUCACCGCAACCUCUGCCUCCCAGGUUCAAGCAAUUCUCCUGCCUCAG